rnacentral:lncRNA from 1 species
UUGUUCGUUUUGCUGUCGCGUAACAUGCGACCUGCGAUUGGUCGCAAGUCGCAGGUUGUUGUUCGUUUUGAUGUCGCGCGACUGAUCGCACGACCAGUCGCGGGUUCCCAUUCAAGUCGCCCGAAAAAACAACGACUAAAAAUUAAGAAAAUUUUGAUCGCUGGACUGGUCGCAGGUCGAAGAUCGCAGGUCGCGCGACACGUAAACGAACAUAGUUUUAGUCACAGGUCGCAGGUUUAGUCGCAGGUCGCACGACACCUAAACGAACAUAAUCUUAGUCGCAGGUCCCAGGUCGCGCGACACGUAAACGAACAUGGUCAUUAUUUCUUUUCGGCCAGGGGCCUACAGCCAUCUCUAGCGAGAAACCAAAACACCAAAUUUGGUGUAAUUUCAUCUCCAACAAGACACCAAAAAUAACACUAUCAAACCAACUUUGGUGUAAUGUGAAUAAUAUUACACUAAAUUUGGUGUAACACUAUUCAUCACACCAAAUCUUUAAAAUACAUCUUUUAAUAUGUUUCUUUAAUAAUAUAGUUCAAUUGCCAUAAAAUUUGUUAUUAAAUAAAGAUAUAUUGUAUUAUUUGUAUUUUAAAUUUAUUUUCACAUAAUUAAAAAAUGAAAUUUGUAUUUUUAUAUUUAUUUUCAAAAUAAAUUAUUAAAAGACUACAAUCAUUUAUCCUUACAAAUAAUAAAAAUAUAAAUAAUAAUCUAGAUGUGAUAAAAUAAUUAUUUAUCAAUCACAAAUAAAAAAAUUUAAAAAAUUUAAAACCGAAAAAUAUCAGAUAAGAAUAUAUAAUAUUACUUUUGGUGUCAUUGAUGGUAAUGACAAAAACAAAUUGACACCAAAAUGUAUUGUUUUAUUUGUAUUCAUCACACUAAAAUGUAUUGUAUUAUUUGUAUCUUUAUCACUAUUCAUCACACCAAAUAUUUAAAAUAUGUAUUUUAAUAUGUUUCAUUUAAUAACAUAGUUCAGCUGCUAUUAAAUUUGUAAAUAAAUAAAUAUAUAUUGUAUUAUUUGUAUUUUAAGUUUAUUUUCACAUAAUUAAAAAAAUUAAAUUUGUAUUUUAAUAUUUAUUUUCAAUAUAAAUUAUUUAAUGACUAUAAUUAUUUAUCACUUAAAAAUAAUAAAAAUAUAAAUAAUAAUCUAGAUACGAUAAAAUAAUUAUUUAUCAAUCACAAAUAAUAAAAAUAUAAAAAAUUUAAAACUAAAAAUAUCAAAUAAUAAUAUAUAAUAUUAUUUUUGGUGUAAAAUUUGAUGUCAUUGUUGGAGAUGACAAAAAAAUCUUGACACCAAAACACCAAAUUUGGUGCUAUUUCAACAUUAAAUUUGGUGUAAUUUUAACGUCAAAUUUGGUUUUAUUGUUGGAGAUGCCCCGAAUGUUUUUGCCUGACUGCGAGAGUAUUCGUGUAUAAGCCAUCCAUCACUAACAACUUCAUUCACGUGACAAAGUUGACCCCAAAUCAAACUUGUUAUAAUUUAUAAGUAUGAAACUACUUCUUAGAAGAAAUAUGGGAAUAUCAUCACAUCAGUCUACCUGCUAGCUUCGGUUAUGUGUCACAAGACUCGCACCUUUAACAAAAAGAACAAUUUAGUUUAAUCUAACUUUUUCGCAUUUGUCCGUCGGCACAUCUAGUCUAAUAAUGCUACUCUUUUCUUCUCCUUCAUCAUUUAUUAUAGUGCUAUCUUUUUUUUUUUCCAUAAAAAUAGUUUUUGCCCCUUCAAUUUUACCAUAAGAAGAAAUAUAAUUUGUAAUCUUUUUUUUUUGAACGAAUGUUAUUCAAGACAAAAAAACUCUUUUGUACAAUAGAUGUGCCAUUAUAUAAUUUGUAAUCAACGAACGUGCUUAGAAAUCAACCGUUAAUACUGUUUCCCAUUGGUGUAACAGUUGGAUUGGAUAAUUUGGGUAUUUGUUAAACCAGCUGUAGAAUGUAAUUGUUAACUCUUUCUUUAACAGCUGACAGGUUUUUGCUGUCCAAUACACAUAGCAUAUAAUUUGUGUUAUUGUCGAAUAUAGGGAUGAUUGGUAGUUGCUGUAGGUGCUGUCUACAUCCUUAUUUAUUUCUACAACACUAAAUUCAGAGCAAUCAAGUUUUAAAUUUUUUUUUUUGAAACGACAGCUCUCGAAAUAACCUACAGCUGUACAAGUGCUCCGCAGAGCUAAAUAUUUAAAGCAAUUUUUUAGUGCUUUCCAUAAAAUUCUACAGCAAUAAAAUCUAAAGCCACAGCAAAAAGUCUGCAAAAUUUUUUCUACAGCAAAAUUUUUAAAACUACAGCCAUUACUAAUCAGACCCGUAUGUUUUCAUAAUAUCUUUCCUUAUUUGCAUUUUAUUUAAGAUACAAAAACUUUUUACUAUGUUGCUCAAACCUACCUAGCCAACCAAGUGGUACAUCUAGAUUUCGAUGUACGAACAUGGAAUUCUUCCCAGUUAGAUUGUAACUUUGUAAGUCUGUGUUACACAGACUGUGUAUAACUUGAUCCUUAGAGUCGGGAACAUUAUGAAUAGAAUUCUUUUAUAUAAAGGAAAAUAAACUAUCGACAUUCCAAUAAAAAUAAGAGUAAUAUAAAAUAAUUCUAUUCAUAAUGUUAACCGAAAGAGUGCAACAGGAUUCCAAUGCCUUAUUUGGACAUACUAUGAUGUGACUGUCCUUCUACAGCUUGCUUAGCUCAUCUUCUACAAAAAAUAUUAUUAUUUGAUAUAAAACAGAAAUGGUAAAAAAACUGCAGAGAUUCCAUGAGUCUCUUUGUUACUUGCUUCAGUCCUCUUGUAGUUUUCUCAUAACCAGAUCUGUACUGAUCAGAGAAAAGACAAGAAAUCCUGAAAACAAAGACUGGAUUUUUGUAAAGUCUUCACUGACACCAUGAUAGUUCAAUGGUAAAGUUAUUAGUUUUAUUUUUUUGGCAUAGACGCCUAAUUGAUUCUCUUUCUUUUUUUAUACCUUUUCUGUUUUAUAAUAUGAGAAGUUCUAUUAAAACUCAAUCAAUGCAGAUGUGCAAGUGUGUUUUUUAAGUUAAAUUUACAUAGAACCUUAAAUUUCCUUAUGCCUAGACACUAAGCUAAACAAGCUCUAUCUCUAGAUGAAUGUUCUUUUGGUAAAGCAACUCAAGCAUCUAAUCUCUUAGGUUGAAUGUUACUAAAGCAAACAUGGAGAACAAGUCUAAUAGCAAUCUUAACUCCUUUAGCAACUAAUCUCUUAGGUAAAGCAAACUAAAAGCAUUGAAGAGUUGGUUCAUGCAUUUCAUCAUACACCUUGUGGGCAGGAAAUGCCUAGAGAUCUAUUUUAGUAUGAUCAAGACUAAAAUAGCAUUGAGAACCCUCAACAAGUAUGAAAACAAGUAAAUCUAACACUAAACACCCUAGAUCUUCUCUAAUCACCCUAGCCCAUGAAUCCAAGAUUAGUCUACUCACUAAUAGACAUGAAUAACCCCAAAACCAUGGAUGAUUCAAGGUUAAACAUGAUUAGAGAGCAAGAUAAUCACACAAACACAAAUAAUAUAGAUGGAAAUUGAUUCAAGAUCCAAAUUUUCUUUAAAGAGGUUUAUGUGUUCUUGGAGAGAAAAGAAGAUAAGUCACAAUUUGGGGAUUACAAGAGUAUUUAUAUGGUCUUUGGAAAACCUAAUGGUUUCCAUAGAAAAGUUUAAAAUGCCCUUUCAAAAUGUUGAUUUUCGGCCAAGGUAAAGACGCGACCCGGGUAGAUGCCAUGGUCGCACCCCGCGUCGGCCAACCUGCGUCGGCUCCUCGUCCAGCUUCUGGGAGGCCGUCCGGGUAAGCUAACCCGCGUCCAUCUACCCGCGUCGGCCCUCUUUCCCAGCUUCCUCUUCUCGAGCCCGGGUAAUGGAACCCGAGUUGGUCCAACCCGCGUCAGGGUUGAUAUGCCUCUAAUAAAUCGAUCAUAACUCCUCCAAUACAGCUCCAAAUGACUUGAAGCUACUUCCAUUAGAAAGAUAACUCAAUUUCACAUGUUACCCCAAAACAUGUUUAAGAUCUCCAUCCAUGUUUAUCUUUCACCCUUUUGCACCACAAAUGUCUCUAAACACCUCCAAGAAAUCCAUAGCACACUCCAGCCCCUAAUAAAGAUCCAUGUAUGCAAAAUGGACUCUAAAGAUGUCUAAUUCCUAAUCUACAUGAUCAUUAUGUACAAGAAAUUAUGGUUAAAACCAUGUAAAUAUGCAAGAUAUCACUUUUUAUUUUAAAAAUAUAAUACAACUUGAUAAUAUUUUGUUUUCUUUUUUAAAAGAUAUCGAAUUUAAAAUAAUGAAAUCUUAUUGGUUGGUGAACCCAAUAAUAACUCGACAGAAACCUGUAGAUAUGAAUGUAGAAUCUGUACUAAAUCUAGGAAAAUAAAUGUAACCGAUAAUUACGGUCUUAAUGUUUCAAACUUUUUCACCCAACCAAAUCAUCCAACCUAAAUUGAAAACCAAUAGUUCCAAUAACGAUUAAUUGUUUAUGAUCAAGUUGAAUCCGGACGGUUUGUAAUCUACUAUAAAGUCAGACACUAUUUGCUGUAGAUUGUUCGUUGAGGAGUAUGUGUCGCCAUGCUCCUAAAUUAUGAUGUUUUGCUUUUUGAAAAGUUGUCACGUAGGAGAAAUCAUAGUGUUUAGUAACUAACAAAUGACAUUUGUUGCUUUGUUAAUUACAACUUGCAAAUUUUGUAUCCACAUACAUAAAUCAUUUAGUUACAACAUAUACUGGGUAAUUGCGUUUCAAAGUAUCAUAAUAUUUCGUUAGAAUAUUGGAUUAUAUUCCAAAUGUGAAUCUCUUAUGCUUUUCGUUUAAUUAAUAAACAAUUCAAAAGUUGUUUGAUUAUGUUGAUAUUUUAUACCCUAAUGUCACAGAUUAUACUCUAUCUGUUUUUUAAAGAGUGACUUUAACGUUUUUUUUUGUUAUACAAAAAUGUCUUUUUUUAGAAUUUCAAUACAUGUUAAAUUUAAUUUUAACUAAAUAUUAAUUAUAAAAUGCAUUGAUCUAAUAAAUAAAUUUAUUAGCUCAAAUAUUAUUGGUUAAACAGAUGUAAUUAAUACGUGUAAAAGUGUCUAAAUGACACUGAAUAAGAGGGAGUAUUAAAAUAAUGUUGCUUAGUGCUAAAGGUAUCAAUAAUCCAUAAUACUACUCCUUCCAUUUCAUAAUAUUAGAUGUUUUUCAUAAAGUACAAGAAUUAAGAAACUUAUUUUUUUAGAAAAUAAUAGAAAAUAAAUUAACCAAUCAUAAAUAAUACAGAGAAAUAUUAUUGGUGAACUAAUUUCCAAUAAAAUUAAAAUACUUUAAAAAUAUCAAAAUAUCUUAUAUUUUCAAACAUCAAUCUUCUCCGAAACAUCUUAUAUUAUAGAAAAGAGGGAGUAUUAUUUUAUAAUAUCAUAUAUAUUUUUUGUGAUUCUUCGUGAUCUUUUUUGGUUUAAGUGUUCCACCUUUAUUUUUCGCUUAACCAGCGAUUUAGCACUGUUGCAAAUCGCCGAUGCGGGACGGAAUGAACCGCUAAAUGAGUCCAUUCACUAUUGCUAUUUAAUACACUGUCAAACAAUACAAAAAUUAAAUGGACUGUUGGCGGUUCAUUGACACGAACAAAUUAGUGGAACGCCAUGUAUAAACAAUAACACAUCAAAUGAGGUGUGUUUUAUAGUGCGGUUCUUUAUGGCUAUUAUUUUUAAUUGAAUUUUUUUAUAAAAAAACUGUGUGAACUAACAUCAUUAAUUACAACACAUUUUGGAGGAUAUUUUUAGAUAUAUCAUUUUAUAAAUUAAAUAGAAUACUUGUUAAAUUAUAUUAGCUACUAUCAUUGAUUUUUUUAUAAUUUGUAAUAUAUAUAUUUUUGUGAUUCUUCGUGAUCUUUUUUUUUUGGUUUAAGUGUUCCACCUUAUUUUGCGCUUAACCAGCGAUUUAGCACUGUUGCAAAUCGCCGAAGACAAUGGAUAUAUAGGCCGUGUUCGUUUACAUGUCGCGCGACCUGCGACCUGCGACCUGCGACCUGCGACUGAUCGCAGGUCGCAGGUUGUUGUUCGUUUUGCUGUCGCGUAACAUGCGACAUGCGAUUGGUCGCAAGUCGCAAGUCGCAGGUUGUUGUUCGUUUUGAUGUCGCGCGACUGAUCGCGCGACCAGUCGCGGGUUCCCAUCUAAGUCGCCCGAAAAAACAGCGACUAAAAAUUAAGAAAAUUUUGAUCGCGCGACUGGUCGCAGGUCGCAGAUCGCAGAUCGCGCGACACAUAAACGAACAUAGUUUUAGUCGCAGGUCGCAGGUCGCAGGUUUAGUCGCAGGUCGCAAGUCGCAGGUCGCGCG